rnacentral:rRNA from 1 species
ACGAACGCUGGCGGCGUGCCUAACACAUGCAAGUCGAACGGGUGUAGCAAUACAUCAGUGGCAAACGGGUGAGUAACACGUAAGUAAUCUACCUUCAAGACUGGCAUAAUCCCGCGAAAGCGGGACUAAUUCCAGAUGUGGUCCAGCUAACACAUGUUAGCUAGACUAAAUCCUUAACGGGCUUAAAGAUGAGCUUGCGUCCUAUCAGCUAGUUGGCGGGGUAAUGGCCCACCAAGGCAAUGACGGGUAGCUGGUCUGAGAGGACGACCAGCCACAAGGGAACUGAGACACGGUCCCUACUCCUACGGGAGGCAGCAGUGAGGAAUUUUCCGCAAUGGGCGAAAGCCUGACGGAGCGACGCCGUGUGUGUGACGAAGUCUUUCGGGAUGUAAAACACUGUCAGAGGGGAAGAUAUUGACGGUACCCUCAGAGGAAGGCCCGGCUAACUACGU